GGGAUGGGACACACCCUUUCUGAAGGCACUCUCUGCUAUUCAAUGGCUUUGUCUUCUGUGCCCCACCUCAGACUUACUUGCCUUUCCCUUGUGAUGGUCUCAAAUGGAAAACUCUGGAUGGAAAACUCUGGACACUGAAGCUUCUGUGUGUUAAUGAAGGAUUUCAUGGCCAGAAUCACUGUGGAAUGUCUAGAGUGGGAGAAAGAACUCUUGUCAAGCCAGGCUUUGAAACCGUAAGGCUAUUCAAUACUAAUCAAGGUGGCCCAUUGCAACAUUCACAUUUGCCUCGAACAGACAAGUGUUCUUUUUCCCCAUCCUGGACUUUAUUCCACAGAUAUAUAAAUCCCACUUGCGUAGAUGCCCGACCACCGUCUCCCAAAGCAGUUGCUCUACUCCGAACUCAAGAAUGGAAAACGGAAUGUUGGUGGACAGGAAGAGAGAUUUAAAGAUGGGCUCAAAGCCAACCCUAAAAACUCUGGCAUAGACACUGCGAACUGGGAAGCCCUGGCCCUUGAGCGCUCCAGCUGAAGGUCAGCUGUGACCAACAGUGCUGUAGAAUUUGAAGAGGCACGAAUGGAGGGUGAAAGAGAGAAACAUGCCAAGAGGAAGGCGCGUCAAGCCAACCGAGACCGCCUUCCACCUGGAAACCAAUGCCCUCACUGCGGGAGAAGAUGCAGAUCAAGAAUAGGGCUCUACAGUCACCUACGGACCCACCAGAAUACUGCUCCUGGAAGACUAUCUUACUUGUUCAACGAGGGAUCGCCUAAGUAAGCAUCUUGUGCUGUUGUGUAAGCUGCCCCGAGUCCCUUUGGGAAGAUGGUGACUGGAUACAAGAAUAAUGUUGUUGUUGUUGUUGUUAUUGUUAUUAUCCAACAUCCUUUUGUAAAAUUAGCCUCAACUUAUUUCCAUUGUUUCUUUUAAUGAAGAAAUUUGCCGAUUUUAGUAAAUGCUUAACAGCAAACUAAGGAAAUCAAAUAGUUACACCUGCUUCCUCUGCAGGUAUUAAAGAAAAGCAAAUAAUUGGCUGCACAGAUUCAGUAUUCCAAAUGCAGAGGAGUAGUCAUUUAAACUAAUCAAUUGAUGAUUUCUGCUUCAUUAAGUCAAUCUGACCAUUUCUUUUUUUGAUAUGAAUGUUUUCCUCCCAUUCUUUUUAUGAAAUUUAUGAAGUUCAUUAUGGGGACUUCUUCCAGAUGCUCUGCUUUGAACUGAAUGAUAUGAGUCUACACUGCCAUAUAAUCCAGUUCAAAGCAGAUUGUCUGGAUUCAGGAACUGGAUAAUUAGGCAGUGUAGAUGGGACCUUAUUUCAAAAAAGAAGAAGAAGAAGAAGCCAAAUGAAAACCUCACCAAUUUCCUACUCUCUUGUAAUCAUUUGGCUGCUAUUGAAUGCUCAGAGACCAGACUCUGGAGGUAACAUUUCUUUCUUUUGUAUAUACAGCAACUGAAGAAAUGAAAAGCAGAGUGGAUUUAUCAGCUGUGGUGAAAAAAAAAUCUGCUCUUUGGCGUCUCUCACACAUAAUGGAAGCUGGAACGUAAAUUUAAAACAAUAUUAUGUGUCAGGGGACAACAGUUUGUUACUAUUAGUUAAUGUUAUGGGUCAGGAAGCAAAAGUUUUGUUUGCAUUGUGCUUGCCAUUUUAAAAUGUAACUGUUUGAUUUCCUAGGGUUUUUAAGUAACUAAAAAUAUUUAUGUUUUUAAAAGACGUCAGAAUGCCCAGGGUCCCAAAAAACCCAAAUAGUGAGGCUGUGCAAGUAUAAAAGUGAAUAAAAAGAGCUACAAUUAGAUUACAAAAGCACUUGUGUCAUCCCUUGUUAGUUGUUUUGACACUGCUGGUGUAACACAUAUAUGCCUUAAUCACUGGAGAAGGAAAUAUAUCACCAGCAGCUCUACUAUUAGUACUCCAUAAAGUCCAAGUGCUCGCCUAAUAGCAGCCAUUCUAUCCAACUGAAGCAGGAGAUAUGGAGUGGCAAUUUGGCUGAGAGAUCAGGGAUACCUGAGGACAAGAUUUUUCCGUGCAGUUGCCAUGCUUCAUUUAAUCAACUGUGUAGUGAUCCAUAUAAUGUCUUCCAAAUUUGCACCAUGUUUUACCACCAUUUCUUCCACCCUUGUUUUUCCUGCAGAAAAUUCCCAUUAAGGAAGAAAGCCUGCAACAGCCAUUGAAUAUCAUUUGAUAAUAGAAACCUGUUUGAAAGCACCCACAUUCCAUUUUCCUCCUUUUCGGAGAUGUUUCAGUUCAACCCUAUUUCUGUAAAAAUUUUGGAAUUUAUAAUUGCAAUUCAUGCCUGAGUUUGUGCCCCCCCCCAUCCCCCUUUUCAUCUCAUUCUUUGCUUUUCUGGAGAUAAGGGUUAAAAAAUACUGUAAAUCAAAUAAGGAAUCACCUGAUGCUUAGCCAUCCAGAGAUGGAUCCCUACAUAUUCAGUCAUUUCCAAAUCUGUGAAAUUAAAGGUUUAAAUAUUACAGAGCCUAUGAAGUUUCCUCAGCAGUGUACAGAGUUUUCCAGAGAGCCAACUUUUGAGACGGCUGAAGCUAGCAAAUGGCAUGUUCAAAUAGAUUCCCUCCCCCCUUUGGAAUCGCGUAAUCCGUUCUCCACUCUACCGUCAAGCUUCAGGGGAGUUUGAGGCGGGAUAUUGAAUCACGUGACCAGGAACCCCAUCUAUGACCCACAACAGGCAAGGCCUCCCCCUCAAAAAAAAACCCACCCCAACUCCCACAUUCACUUACCCAACCCUCACAAUCAUGCAGUUCUGCAGGAUACGCAAGGCAGGAUGAAAGAGCAGGGAGUUGUAAAACGUCACCCUAAAAAAAUAGGCUGGCUUAAAGCUUUACAAAGAUGUUAUGGCAACAAAAUGUUUCGCACCGAAGAAA